ensembl:lncRNA
CCUCACAGCAGCCUUACAUCUACGAAGAUGAGAAGGUCCACAUGACACACAAUGUUCGGUUUGACAACCGCAAUGCUACUCCUGAGCAAGGUCUUAGACGUCAAAACGACAAAAGUCAUCCCGCUCUUAAAUCCUACCCCACAUCUUCAAACAACAAUAAUGACAACUCCAACAUUAGCGACUUUGUAAGAUACUUUGCUCGUCGUGAGCUUGUGGCAACAGGCCUGCUUCAAUUCAACGACAGACCUCAGAACUACAGAGCCUGGAAACGUUCUUUCCAGAACGCAACCAGAGGGUUGGACCUGACACCAAGUGAGGAAAUGGAUCUCCUGUUUAAAUGGCUCGGCAAAGAGUCAUCAGAACAUGUCGAGCACAUAAGAGCAAUACACAUCAACCAUCCAGCGGCAGGCUUGGCCAUGAUAUGGGACAGACUAGAACAAUCUUAUGGUUCUGCGGAAGUAAUAGAAGAUGCUCUGUUCAAACGUAUUGACGCCUUCCCAAAAUUAACAAAUCGAGAUUAUUCCAAACUAACAAAGUUGAGUGAUCUUUUAAAGGAACUAGAGUCAGCCAAAGAUGAGGGAGACCUGCCCGGUCUCUCUUUCCUCGAUACAGCAAGAGGCGUUAACCCUAUUGUACAGAAGCUCCCCUUUGGUCUGCAGGAAAAGUGGGCGUCAGUUGGGGCAUCCUACAAGCAGCAAUAUCACGUGUCAUAUCCUCCCUUUGCCUGCUUUGUAAACUUUGUUAGCCAUGAAGCUAGUGUCAAAAAUGACCCAAGUUUCAACUUUUUCUCUUACUCAGACAUGUCUCUUAGGACAGAAAAAACAACUUGGAAGCCAAACAGACAACGUGAAGUCUCUGUUCACAAAACAGAGAUAUUUCCAAAAGAUACCUCUGGUCCUAGGGAACCCCCAACACAAUUCGCUGACUGUGAACAACUGUGUCCAAUCCACAAAAAACCUCACCCCAUACGCAAAUGCCGUGCAUUCAGAGAAAAGCCCAUUGCAGACCGGAAGACAUUCUUAAAAGAGAAUAACAUCUGUUUCAAAUGCUGCGCUUCAUCAUCACAUAUUGCAAGGAACUGCACAUUUAAUGUUCGAUGUUAUGAAUGUAAAAGUGAAAAACACCACACAGCGCUUCACCCUGGACCUGCACCUUGGGUUGAAGACACAAACUCGGUUCCAGAGCAUGGCGGGGAGGAGGAUAGCUUUCCACAACCCCGUGUCGCCACCAAAUGUACAGAUGUCUGUGGCGGAGACAUGACGGGCCGAUCCUGUUCUAAAGUAUCCCUCGUGAAAGUGUAUCCAACCGGCCACGCUGACAAAGCAGUGAAAAUGUACGUGAUCCUGGACGAACAGAGCAACAGAUCACUAGUUCGUUCACAGUUCUUCGAAAUCUUCAAUGACCAAAGUCCAAGUGCUCCUUACUCAUUGAAAACAUGUGCUGGAGUAAAGAAAGCGACAGGAAGAAGGGCCAGUGGCUACAUUGUGGAAUCUUUGGAUAAGACCGUCAGCAUUCCACUACCCAGCCUCAUAGAAUGUGAUGACAUUCCAAAUAACAGAGAUGAGAUUCCAACUCCAAAUGCAGCCUUUCAUCACACACACUUAAAGUCAGUUGCACACCUCAUCCCAGAGAUCGACCCACAGGCCCAAAUUAUGCUUCUCUUAGGUCGGGAUAUUCUCAGGGUUCAUAAGGUCCGCAAACAGGUCAAUGGCUCACACAACCUGCCCUAUGCUCAAAAGUUAGAUCUGGGAUGGGUCAUCGUGGGCAAUGUGUGUUUAGGUCGCGUUCAUAAGCCACCAACAGUCAGCGCCUUCUACACUAACACCACAGAACGGGGACGCCCCACUCUCUUUGACCCAUGUCCUAACGUGUUCCGGGUAAAGGAAAGUUACAGUGACACCCAGGCCACAAACCACCUCCAACCACAUUUUGUGGAGAUACCAAACUGUGAUGUUGACAGCCUAGGACAUAACAUAUUCAAGCAGGCCAAAGACGACAACAACAUUGCUCCAUCUAUCCAGGACAUCUCCUUUAUGGAAAUAAUGAAAGAUGGACUAACAAAAGAUGCAAACAACAGUUGGGUAGCUCCAUUACCCUUUAAAUGCCCACGUCAAAGGCUCCCCAACAACAGGCCACAGGCAGUGAACCGUCUCAAGUUGCUAAGGCGCCAGUUUGAAAAGAGGCCUGAAAUGAGAGACCACUUUCUCAUUUUCAUGGACAAGAUGUUCAAGAAUGGUCACGCUGAGCUGGCCCCUCCUCCCAGUGUGGGUGGAGAACAGUGGUACCUGCCAAUAUUUGGGGUGUACCAUCCAAGAAAACCAAACCAAAUCCGAGUAGUCUUCGAUUCCAGCGCCCAGUACAACGGUGUGUCACUCAACGACGUGCUGUUGACUGGGCCUGAUCUGAACAACACACUGCUCGGUGUACUGUUGCGCUUUAGAAAGGAAGCAAUCGCUUUUACAACGGACAUAGAGCAGAUGUUCUAUUGUUUUUCAGUGAGGGAAGACGAUAGGAACUUCCUACGUUUUCUAUGGUUCCAAGAUAACGACCCCUCCAAAGACAUUGUGGAGUAUCGAAUGACGGUCCACGUCUUUGGAAAUAGUCCUUCACCGGCAGUAGCGAUUCAUGGAUUGCACCAGUCUGUUCAGGUCAGUGAACUCCACAUUGACGCUGACGUCCAACGUUUUGUGAUGCGCGACUUCUAUGUAGACGAUGGGUUAAAGUCCCUACCCACAGUCGAAGCUGCAGUCAGCUUGCUGAAAAAAACACAGGAUAUUCUCUCCAAAUCCAACCUAAGACUACACAAGAUCGCAGCAAACAACAAGGAGGUCAUGGAGGCCUUUCCGGCUGAAGAUCGUGCAAAAGACCUUAAAGACCUUGACCUCAGUGCAGAUGCGCUGCCGAUGCAGCGUAGUCUAGGUAUCAAUUGGGACCUCGAGACCGACUGCUUCCAAUUCAGCGUCUCCGAUGAGAAGAGACCAUACACUCGACGGGGUGUCUUGUCAACAAUCAACAGCCUCUACGAUCCUCUAGGGUUUGUAGCGCCAGUCACAAUACAAGGCAAGGCUAUUCUGAGAGAGCUAACAACUGAGAAAGGUGACUGGGACUCGCCUUUGCCUCGAGAAAUGGAGGAAUCAUGGACAUCGUGGAGAACAUCCUUAACAGAACUGUCCCAGCUGUCUAUUCCCAGAGCCUACACUACAACUUCCCCCGCAACAGCUGUCAGAAGGGAAUUGUGCGUAUUUUCUGACGCAUCCACCAAAGCUAUUGCCGCUGUGGCAUACCUAAAAGUAACUGACUCUGCUGGAAAUAACCAUGUCGGAUUUGUAAUGGGCAAAGCCAAGCUGGCCCCCCGUCCUGAGCAAACAAUUCCGAGACUGGAACUUUGCGCAGCAGUGCUUGGAGUGGAGUUAGCAGACCUAAUCUCGACAGAAUUAGACCUUCAGCUCGAUGCUACAACCUUCCACUCAGACAGCAAGGUGGUCCUUGGCUACAUUUCUAAUGAAACUAGGCGCUUUUAUGUGUAUGUAAGUAACCGGGUAUUGCGUAUCCGAAGAUCCUCUCGCCCAGAUCAAUGGCGCUAUGUGUCAACAGAACAGAACCCCGCAGACCACGCUACACGUGCUGUCACUGCAGGCCGUUUGAAUGACACAAACUGGCUGAGCGGGCCCAAAUCUCUGUACACACCGGAGACCAGUACCUCAGAGAGCACCCAUGAACUUGUGGACCCGAGUGCAGACUCAGACAUUCGCCCUCUGGUAUCCACUAUGAGCACUACGACAACAUCCAACCAGCUCGGUUCUCAGCGAUUCGCAAGGUUCUCAUCCUGGAAGUCGCUAACUCGGGCCAUUAUUCGCCUCAUACACAUAGCUCGCCUUUUCAACAGCACCUUGAAGAACAGCCUUUGUAAAGGCUGGCAUCACUGCAAAACAGGAUUCAAUUUUGAGGAAUCUAAUCAAGCAUCGCACAUCAUCAUUCGAGCAGUACAGGAGGAAGCCUACAGUCAAGAGAUCAAAUGUGUCCAAAAACAUGAGCAGAUUCCUAAAAGUAGUCCUCUCAAAAAUCUGGAUCCUUUCAUUGAUGCACUCGGCCUUCUGAGAGUCGGAGGCCGCCUCCACAAUGCAAACCUUGUUCAGAGCGAGAAGACCCCAGUGAUCAUUCCUGGCAAGCAUCAGGUUGCAACCUUACUCAUCAAGCAUCACCACGAACAAAUCUAUCACCAAGGUCGUCUGUUUACGGAGGGGGCCGUCCGUACAGCUGGCUUUUGGAUAGUUGGUGGUAAAAGAAAGGUGAGCAACAUCAUCCACCAGUGUAUAACCUGCAGAAGGCUUAGAGCCCCACUUACAAUCCAGAAGAUGGCCAGUCUUCCAGCGGACCGUCUCUCAACAGAACCUCCCUUUACGAAUGUUGGGCUUGAUGUGUUCGGCCCUUGGAGUGUCUCUUCACGUAGAACAAGAGGAGGCCACUCACACAGUAAACGAUGGGCCGUAAUCUUCACGUGCAUGAGUGUACGAGCGGUUCAUAUUGAAGUCAUAGAAUCCCUUGACACAUCCAGCUUCGUCAACGCGCUAAGGCGCUUUCUUGCUGUGCGCGGCCCUGUCAAACACAUCCGCUCAGACCGUGGCACCAACUUUGUAGGCGCCUGCCGGGAGUUGAAAAUACCCUCAAACAUUGACAACACAACUGUGAAGACUUACCUGUUAGGUCAAGGUUGCUCGUGGACCUUUAACCCUCCGCACGCCUCCCAUUUUGGCGGUUCGUGGGAAAGAAUGAUUGGUCUUGCAAGGAGAAUCCUGGACGCCAUGUUCCUUCAGCUGAAGGACAAACUUACCCACGAGGUGCUGGUGACUUUCAUGGCAGAAGUUACAGCCAUUAUAAAUGGCAGACCUCUUGUUCCUGUGACAACCGACUCUGAGGAUCCAUUUAUACUCACUCCAGCUGCCCUUCUCACGCAAAAGGUGAAUGUCUUGACUGCCCCUACCGGAGAGUUUGGAGUUUCAGACCUCUACAAGCGCCAGUGGCGACAGGUCCAGCACCUGUCUAACACCUUCUGGGACAGAUGGCGAAAGCAAUAUCUCCCGACACUACAGGCACGUAAGAAGUGGCAUUCCGCUCAUCCAAACAUCAGCCCAGGAAGUGUUGUUAUCCUCAAGGAUAGUCAAGCACCAAGAAAUGAAUGGCCUCUUGGACUGGUAACACAGGCGUUCCCCAGCGAGGACGGGAAGGUACGAAAGGUCGAGAUUAAGGUCGCACGAACAGGAGUGACUAAACUCUUUCUUAGGCCUGUUUCUGAGAUAGUGCUUCUUUUCCCCCCAGAGCCCUAGUGGAGUGAACUGUCUAGGAUUUAUUGGGUGGCGUGUAUUCACGCCAAGCGGGGAGUGUUUUGUCACAAACGUUAAAUCAAUGCUAUGUUUUAUUUUGAAAACAGGAAAUGUGAUGUAAUUUGUCAGGUGACAGGAACCAGGAAGUCAAUGAAGAAUAUGGCUCAGAACUGCUGUUUGUAUUGGUAGCUUUUCAAUCCAGUUGAGUCUGCAUGCAUCCUAUACCUUUUUGAUAGCAUCGUUGGUACGUAUUGAUUUGUUUUAUUGUUCAUUAUCAUCUCAGGUGAUUAUUUUUGUGACAAUGUUUAGUUUGGAUAUUUUUGUGCACAUGGCCUAUUGAGUCAUUCGGGUUGGUAACUGCACUGCUAUGGUUGUCAUUAAAGUCCAUAUGACUUAAUAAAUAACAAAGUAAAUAAGCAUAAAUAUAUAAAGUAGCCGUCGAAGAAAAUGCACUUCAUUUGUAUUUAUUAUGUCUUUUGUGUGUUUUAGUUUUACUCUUUCUCAUGUCAAUAAACCUGUGGACAACGGACCAUUGUCUUCAGAGUCGUGAUGUCAGAAAAGAGUUCGUCUAACUGCCAAGGUGUAUCGGAGCGCAUAUACCGAGGGCGGCAUAAGCAGGGCUUCAUGCUUAGCUCAGCUGGCAGGAAGGGAUCAUAUUACUUUGUUACUAUAUUAACUUCUCUGCACUGGCUCCCUGUUAAAUCAAGAAUAGAUUUUAAGGUACUUCUCCUCACCUACAAGGCACUUGCUGGUGUGGCACCGUCUUAUCUUAAAGAGCUUGUAACACCUUAUUGCCCUACAAGGCAGCUGCGCUCCAUAGAUGCUGGGUUACUUGUUGUUCCUAUGGUUUUAAAAAGUAGGCUGGGGGCCAGAGCCUUCAGUUAUCAAGCUCCUCUUUUGUGGAACCAGGUUCCACUUUCAGUCCGGGGGGCAGAUUCGGUCAGCUCUUUUAAAGUAAAACUUAAAACUUUCCUCUUUGAUUCUGCCUAUAGUUAGGGCUGGCUCAGGUUAGCCCGGACCAGCCCUUAGUUAAGCUGCUAUAGGCUUAGACUGCCGGGGGACUUCUAAGGACACACCGAGCUCCUCUCUCACGCUCUCGUUCUACCAUAAUUCACGUUUUAUUAAUGCACAUGACUAAUUCAGCAUCUUUCUGGGAGUUUUUUGUGCUUUCUCCCCUAGCAGGUCUCCGUAGAUCGUGGUUCCUUCUGGACCCUGGUCCUGACACCUGCCGUGGCCCUGCUGACACCUGUUGCUGCCAUCAUCGCUUCUGUGGAUGGUGGUUCUAUCUGAUGAUGGUUGCCCGUGCAGUGGUCCUGCUGUGCGCCUGGCUUACUCACAAUUAUUAGAAUCAUUUCUGUCAUAUGAAUUGUUCAUUCUGUACACAUGGCAUCCAUUGUAGUCUGUCCAUCACGGGAGUGGGAUCCCUGCUCUGAUGACUUUUUCCCUCUUGGAAGGGUUUUUUCAUUUAUUGGGGAGUUUUUCCUGUGCUAAUGUGUGGGUUUCGGGACAGAGGAUGUCGUAUGUGUACAUACUGUAAAGCCCUCUGGGGUAAAUUUCUAAUUUGCGACUUUGGGCUAUACAAAAUAAAAUGAAUUGAAUUGAAUUGAACAUAUUGUUGCUGUAUUUAUAUCUUUCUGCGGAACGACACAUAGGAUGAAUGUUGUGGUUUUUCAUGCGGCAAGAGACAUAUGCAACUUUUAUUGUGAGCUACACAGUAUGUUAACGAGACUGUCCAC